GUAUCACCAAGGAAGGUUCAAUGCAACUGAAGAGGCUUUUUAAAGCUCCUGCUCCUCUUUUUUUAGGGAGAAGCUGGUGCCCCUGGAGAACCAGGAGAAAGAGGAAUGAGGGGUCCACUUGGAUUCCCAGGACGACCUGGAGAGCAGGGCAUAAAAGGCGACACAGGACAACCUGGAAAGGACGUAAGGAAUGCCCAAAGGAGCAGCUGAGAGAGGGAGAGCUUAGGAUAGUGCAAGACAGAACUAUAUUUUUUCUGCCUUACAGUAUGCAAGGCACAGAAAUCUCCCUCCCUCUCUCCUGGGGAGGGAUCUCCUCUUCAAAGGGAGGAUUAGGACUGUUUCUCCCUUCUUGUUUGACUAGCUGGAGCACAAGUUAAAUAGCAGGACUGUGCAGCAGGGGGUGCUGAGCAUGCAAACCUUCCCCAGCCCCACGCUGCUGAAAACACAAUGCUCAGCCCUGUCUCAGUCUGGUGAGGAGGGAAGGGAAAGGAUGCGCUUGUGUUCUGUCUGAUCUCCCUCUAAUAGCUUAGGAAAACACUGGCUGGCAUAAGCUACAUUUGUCAGAGGGACAGAGGUCUCAAAGGCACAGCAUUUCUACAAACUUUGGUAAAAUGAGCAUCUGGCUGGGGGAGAGAAAGUCCCUAACGAGCCUACCCACUGGGGAAGAGGCUAAUAACCUCACCUCUUAUUAAAUCUCAGAGAGCCCCUCUGCAGGAGUGAUGUUGAAUUCCAGUUCUCAUUAUCUCAGUUGCUCUAGGAAGGGCUUGUUAGUCCACAGGAUGCUGAGCUAGCAAAAAGAUGCUGAGCCCCCCUCCCCUCCCAAGGCUUCUUCUCAUUCUGCCUCUCUCUCCCCCUCCUAGGGAAUCACUGGAGAGAAGGGAGACAAGGGCGAUUCUGUAGGUUUGCACAUUCCCGUUUAUAACCUUGCAUGAAAGAAUCUGUUUGGAGGCCGAAAUGCUGAAUUGCACCACUCACUUUUUUGGGGGGGUGGGGGGUACGGGGGUGUUUUAUCUCCCUAGGGUAAGCCUGGUCUGCCUGGGACUCCUGGAAGCAUUGUGAGUAAUGCCUUCUUCUACUGACUUCCACAUUUGGUCAGGAAAGGGAUAUGUCGAGAUUUAUCAUGAAUCCUGGGUACCAGGGGGGACACACUGCCAGAAAUUAUUGCUUUCAGCAGUGUGUGCUGUACAGAGGAUUUCCCUCCUAGCCUUAUCAAAAC
rnacentral:lncRNA from 1 species